rnacentral:rRNA from 1 species
CGGGGUGAGUAACACGUGGAUAACCUACCUAUAAGACUGGGAUAACUUCGGGAAACCGGAGCUAAUACCGGAUAAUAUAUUGAACCGCAUGGUUCAAUAGUGAAAGACGGUUUUGCUGUCACUUAUAGAUGGAUCCGCGCCGCAUUAGCUAGUUGGUAAGGUAACGGCUUACCAAGGCAGCGAUGCGUAGCCGACCUGAGAGGGUGAUCGGCCACACUGGAACUGAGACACGGUCCAGACUCCUACGGGAGGCAGCAGUG